GUGCCAGCAGCCGCGGUAAUACGUAGGUGGCGAGCGUUGUCCGGAAUUACUGGGUGUAAAGGGCGCGUAGGCGGGGAUGUAAGUCAGAUGUGAAAUACCAUGGCUUAACUGUGGUCGUGCAUCUGAAACUAUGUUUCUUGAGUAUCGGAGAGGAAAGCGGAAUUCCCAGUGUAGCGGUGAAAUGCGUAGAGAUUGGGAAGAACACCAGUGGCGAAGGCGGCUUUCUGGACGGUAACUGACGCUGAGGCGCGAAAGCGUGGGGAGCAAACAGGAUUAGAUACCCUGGUAGUCCACGCCGUAAACGAUGGAUACUAGGUGUAGGAGGUAUCGACCCCUUCUGUGCCGGAGUUAACACAAUAAGUAUCCCACCUGGGGAGUACGGCCGCAAGGUUGAAACUCAAAUGAAUUGACGG
rnacentral:rRNA from 1 species